UUUUAUUUCAUUAGUAGUGGUUAGAAAGUCCGCCUCUGAUGCGUGCGGUCGCGGGUUCGAAUCCCGACCGAGUCAUAUCAA